UCGGAGGGGCGAGGGCUGGCUGAGUCACCCCGCAACACGGCGCAGUGAGUCCGUGCCGCCGGCAGCGAUAAGAGGUGAUGUCACUUGGGCCAGGAAUGUCGCAAGACUGAUUAAGUGGUCAACUUGGAGAGAGCGUGAGGAAGUGUGAAAAUCUGUGUGACCUUGUGCCCAGCAGCGAGAUGCCGAAGGGUGCCCAAAUACUGCAGGAGUGUUUGCUCCAGCACAGCAGGUCUAAGACUGGUGAAAGUUUUGGAGAUAAACCCAACAACGGGCAGCAACUGCAGCUUGUUCUUGAAGUUGACUGGCAUUGACCUCACAGUGCAGACUUCAUCGAGAUCCAUACAGGAAAUAGAAAUCUCAUUGUUUACAGUA